GACGAACGCUGGCGGCGUGCCUAAUACAUGCAAGUUGAGCGCUGAAGGUUGGUACUUGUACCGACUGGAUGAGCAGCGAACGGGUGAGUAACGCGUGGGGAAUCUGCCUUUGAGCGGGGGACAACAUUUGGAAACGAAUGCUAAUACCGCAUAAAAACUUUAAACACAAGUUUUAAGUUUGAAAGAUGCAAUUGCAUCACUCAAAGAUGAUCCCGCGUUGUAUUAGCUAGUUGGUGAGGUAAAGGCUCACCAAGGCGAUGAUACAUAGCCGACCUGAGAGGGUGAUCGGCCACAUUGGGACUGGGACACGGCCCAAACUCCUACGGGAGGCAGCAGUAGGGAAACUUCGGCAAUGGACGAAAGUCUGACCGAGCAACGCCGCGUGAGUGAAGAAGGUUUUCGGAUCGUAAAACUCUGUUGGUAGAGAAGAACGUUGGUGAGAGUGGAAAGCUCAUCAAGUGACGGUAACUACCCAGAAAGGGACGGCUAACUACGUG
rnacentral:rRNA from 1 species